UACGUAGGGGGCAAGCGUUGUCCGGAUUUAUUGGGCGUAAAAGGCUUGUAGGUGGCCACGCCAAGUCGGAUGUGAAAUCUCCCGGCUCAACUGGGAGGGGUCAUUCGAUACUGGCGGGCUCGAGGCCGGUAGGGGGAAGUGGAAUUCCCGGUGUAGUGGUGGAAUGCGUAGAUAUCGGGAGGAACACCAGUGGCGAAGGCGGCUUCCUGGACCGGUAUUGACGCUGAGGCGCGAAAGCUAGGGGAGCAAACGGG
rnacentral:rRNA from 1 species